UGUAAGUGUAUACCAAAGUUGUUGCAGUUAAAACGCUCGUAGUCGGAAUUUGGCAGUUCCGGAUGUGUGCACGUCGUGUGCGCACUUCGCGGGGAUUGCUUUUGUGGCCUUGCGUAGGAUGAGGCACUUUUAUUAGUGAACGUCCUCACGCAACCACUUUUCACUGUGAGAAAAUCAGAGUGCUCAAAGCAGGCAUUUGCCGUGAAUGUAUUAGCAUGGAAUAAUAGAAUAGGACUUGGUUCUAUUUUGUUGGUUUGUUGGGACUGAGUAAUGAUUAAGAGGGACAGUUGGGGGCAUUUGUAUUUCGGUGCUAGAGGUGAAAUUCUUAGAUUACCGAAAGACAAACUGCUGCGAAAGCGUCUGCCAAGGAUGUUUUCAUUGA
rnacentral:rRNA from 1 species